CAGUCGCCGCGGGAAUACCGGCAGCACGAGUGAUGACCGCUAUUAUUGGGCCUAAAGCGUCCGUAGCUGGCCACGCAAGUCCGUCGGGAAAUCCGCGCGCUUAACGCGCGGGCGUCCGGUGGAAACUGUGUGGCUUGGGACCGGAAGAUCCAGAGGGUACGUCCGGGGUAGGAGUGAAAUCCCGUAAUCCUGGACGGACCACCGGUGGCGAAAGCGCUCUGGAAAGACGGAUCCGACGGUGAGGGACGAAAGCUCGGGUCACGAACCGGAUUAGAGACCCCGGUAGUCCCUGUCUCUUAUU
rnacentral:rRNA from 1 species